rnacentral:rRNA from 1 species
UCGGGAUGAAGAGCAUUGUGACUGAGCGGCGGACGGGUGAAUAACGCGUGGGUAACCUGCCUCAUACAGGGGGAUAACAGUUAGAAAUGGCUGCUAAUACCGCAUAAGACCACAGCACCGCAUGGUGCAGGGGUAAAAACUCCGGUGGUAUGAGAUGGACCCGCGUCUGAUUAGCUAGUUGGUGGGGUAACGGCCUACCAAGGCGACGAUCAGUAGCCGACCUGAGAGGGUGACCGGCCACAUUGGGACUGAGACACGGCCCAAACUCCUACGGGAGGCAGCAGUGGGGAAUAUUGCACAAUGGGGGAAACCCUGAUGCAGCGACGCCGCGUGAGCGAAGAAGUAUUUCGGUAUGUAAAGCUCUAUCAGCAGGGAAGAAAAUGACGGUACCUGACUAAGAAGCCCCGGCUAACUACGUGCCAGCAGCCGCGGUAAUACGUAGGGGGCAAGCGUUAUCCGGAUUUACUGGGUGUAAAGGGAGCGUAGACGGCGAGGCAAGUCUGAUGUGAAAACCCGGGGCUCAACCCCGUGACUGCAUUGGAAACUGUUUUGCUUGAGUGCCGGAGAGGUAAGCGGAAUUCCUAGUGUAGCGGUGAAAUGCGUAGAUAUUAGGAGGAACACCAGUGGCGAAGGCGGCUUACUGGACGGCAACUGACGUUGAGGCUCGAAAGCGUGUGGAGCAAACAGGAUUAGAUACCCUGGUAGUCCACGCCGUAACGA